GCAGCCGCGGUAAUACGUAGGUGGCAAGCGUUAUCCGGAUUUACUGGGUGUAAAGGGAGCGCAGGCGGGAGAGCAAGUCAGACGUGAAAACUAUGGGCUUAACCCAUAACGUGCGUUUGAAACUGUUUUUCUUGAGUGAAGUAGAGGUAGGCGGAAUUCCGAGUGUAGCGGUGAAAUGCGUAGAUAUUCGGAGGAACACCAGUGGCGAAGGCGGCCUACUGGGCUUUUACUGACGCUGAGGCUCGAAAGUGUGGGGAGCAAACAGGAUUAGAUACCCC
rnacentral:rRNA from 1 species